rnacentral:rRNA from 1 species
GAUGAACGCUGGCGGCGUGCCUAAUACAUGCAAGUCGAGCGAACAGACGAGGAGCUUGCUCCCCUGACGUUAGCGGCGGACGGGUGAGUAACACGUGGAUAACCUACCUAUAAGACUGGGAUAACUUCGGGAAACCGGAGCUAAUACCGGAUAAUAUAUUGAACCGCAUGGUUCAAUAGUGAAAGACGGUUUUGCUGUCACUUAUAGAUGGAUCCGCGCCGCAUUAGCUAGUUGGUAAGGUAACGGCUUACCAAGGCGACGAUGCGUAGCCGACCUGAGAGGGUGAUCGGCCACACUGGAACUGAGACACGGUCCAGACUCCUACGGGAGGCAGCAGUAGGGAAUCUUCCGCAAUGGGCGAAAGCCUGACGGAGCAACGCCGCGUGAGUGAUGAAGGUCUUCGGAUCGUAAAGCUCUGUUAUUAGGGAAGAACAAAUGUGUAAGUAACUAUGCACGUCUUGACGGUACCUAAUCAGAAAGCCACGGCUAACUACGUG